GUGCACCAGGCGAGAAACUUUACAAUGUGCGAAAGCACGAUAAGGGAACUCUGAGUGCCUCCUAAGGAGGCUGUUCUGAUGUCUAAAAGCAACAGAAGUAAGGGCUGGGUAAGACCGGUGCCAGCCGCCGCGGUAACACCGGCAGCCCAAGUGGCAGCCACGUUUAUUGGGUCUAAAGCGUUCGUAGCCGGCCAGGUAAGUUCCUUGGUAAAUUUAGCCGCUUAACGGUUAAGCUUUCAGGGAAUACUGCUUGGCUUGGGACUGGGAGAGGUCAGAGGUACUCCGGGGGUAGGGGUGAAAUCUAUUAAUCCCUGGGGGACCACCGGUAGCGAAGGCGUCUGACCAGACCAGGUCCGACGGUGAGGGACGAAGGCUAGGGGCGCGAACCGGAUUAGAUACCCCCGUA
rnacentral:rRNA from 1 species